GCGUAUUCCCAAGAUGCCUACCUGAAAGGCAACGAAGCCUACAGUGGUAAUGCUCACAACAUCCCUGAACCACCUCCGAUAUGUUACCCACGCCUGACAUCCACAGCUUCUGUUACAGCACAAGCUGGUGACAAAGUAUCUUCGGACUUCCUGCUGGGGAAACAGCAAGUCAGUAGACCAGUACGGGCAUUGACACAGCCAGAGAGGGCCUACAGAAUGGAAAUACAAGUGCCUCCAUCACCAACAGACAUUGCAAAAUCAAAUACAGCCGUGUGUGUUUGCAAUGAAACCGUAAGGACUGUUAUUGUGCCUUCUGAGAAGGCUGUAGAUUUGCCAUCUUGUAGAAAUAAUCAUGCUGUUCCAUCACACAGGACAGAGGAGGUAAGAUACGGCUUAAAAGAUCAAACCGGUCUAAAAGCGCGGGCCACAUCGCCACCUUCUUCAGUGUCCACUGCCAUUGUACUUCCCCAGACUCCAAUAACAAGGCCAGUUGAUCCAGCUGGACCGCUCAAUAAAGCUUCAAAUUAUGUAGUAUGUGCAGAGGGAAUCCCAAGCACUAGGCCUCCUGCUCAAGCUACAGACUCGCCCUCGGUCUCUGCUAACCAUUACAGUUCACCAGCCUCCCACCAGCACAUAGACUGGAAGACGUACAAAACUUACAAAGAGUACAUUGAUAAUCGGCGCAUGCACAUGUAUGGCUCCCGGACCAUACAGGAGAGGCUGGACAGUUUAAGAGCAGCUUCUCAGAACACAACGGAUUAUAAUCGGGUGGUGCCGAAUCGCACUGCCUCACAGGUACGGCGCAGGAGCACCUCUCACGACAGAGCCCCACAGGCCGUCCAGAUACGGCAGAGGAGCGUAUCCCAGGAAAGACUGGAAGAUCCCGUCUUGAUGAAAGAGUGGCCACGAAGUGCUUCGCAAGAUACUCUGACUUCACCUUCAGUUAAUGCUAGGAAUCACAGGGCUCGGUCGUGGGAUUAUCUCAGCAAACAGGGUGAAGUGCUAGAAAAUUUUCAUUCUGAGAAUCUGAUUGCAGAUAUGAAUGGAGAUAGGAGAAAGACGUACAAGUGGACAGGGUUUACCGAACAAGAUGAUCGGCGAGGUAUUUACGAGAGAUCUAGGCAGCAUGCAUUUCAUAUGUCCCUUCGAGGUCAGAAUUUUUCUACGGCUCCCAGUGCUUAUAUUUCAGACAACAGGAGAACAGGUAGUAGAGCUUCUCUGCCUGGUUCUCACUUUCAGAAAGUUCCACCAGAUAUGAAAACAUUACAGUCUUCUCGAGACUUGCAAACUCCUGGGGGAGUUUCAAAACCUACAACUGUUUCACAAGAGAGAUUGUCUCUCACACCAGCCAGAAGUUCUAAAAGUAGCUCUUUGAAGAACUCUGCUCCCUAUGCAGCAAAAUCAUUUCCCCUUAAUCAGGGCCUGGAUGCUAUUGCCAGCAAAGACCAAAGAACAGUAAAUCACUUGCAUCAGGGUGGUCUGUUAAAUCAACAGUCGAGGAUCCGAUCAGAAGGUGCCCCAGAUCACAAAACAGAAACUGGCAAAAACAUCCAACCCUCCUCUCUGUCUCCAGCUUCUGCCAAACUUAUUCAGCCAACAAGUGAGAGUUCAGCUACCUCUGACAACAUAGAUGGUUCCAUCAGACAAAAGACUCACGAUUUUGAAAGGGAAGAUUUCCAUGAGCCUGAAAUUCUGCAAACGGAUGUUCAGGAAAAUGACAAAGACAUCGUGGUCAUGCGGGACAAAUCACCUUCUGGCCAUCAAACCCCACAGCCUUUGAGGCAUCACUCCUACAUCCUUGCUGUAAAUGACCAAGAGUCAGCUUCAGACACUACCUGUUGGUUACCGAAUGAUGCUCGGAGGGAAGUCCACAUUAAAAGAAUAGAAGAAAGGAAAGCAUCAGGUUCCAGCCCACCUGGUGAUUCCCUGGCUUCUAUUCCAUUUAUUGGUGAGUUAAACUAUUCCAGUGUACAUCGAAUGCUUUUCUCUGCCAAAGAUGGUGGAGGACACCAUGCUAGACAGCUGGCUGCUGUAAACCCUGAGGAUGAGGGGCUCUUGUCUCAUCUAGAGUAA